AACGAACGCUGGCGGCAUGCCUAACACAUGCAAGUCGAACGAGACCUUCGGGUCUAGUGGCGCACGGGUGCGUCACGCGUGGGAACCUGCCCUUAGGUUCGGAAUAACUCCCCGAAAGGGGUGCUAAUACCGGAUAAUGUCUUCGGACCAAAGAUUUAUCGCCUUUGGAUGGGCCCGCGUUGGAUUAGCUAGUUGGUAGGGUAAAAGCCUACCAAGGCGACGCUCCAUAGCUGGUCUGAGAGGAUGAUCAGCCACACUGGGACUGAGACACGGCCCAGACUCCUACGGGAGGCAGCAGUGGGGAAUAUUGGACAAUGGGCGAAAGCCUGAUCCAGCAAUGCCGCGUGAGUGAUGAAGGCCGUAGGGUUGUAAAGCUCUUUUACCCGGGAUGAUAAUGACAGUACCGGGAGAAUAAGCUCCGGCUAACUCCGUG
rnacentral:rRNA from 1 species